ensembl:lncRNA
CUUCUCCUGUAUAUAUCAAACUCCUUGGCAACCUCCUUUUCCAAGGGCCUUACUUACAUUUCACAGAAUCAUAGAAUAGUUUAGGUUGGAUUUAAAGGUACUUUCAAACCCCCUGCAAUGAGCAGGGACAUUUUCAACUAGAUCAGGUUGCUCAGAAGCCCAUCCAACCUGACCCUGAAUGUUUCCAGGGCUGGGUGCUCUCUCACUCAUCCUUCUUUCCCACCCCUCCCCUACCUUCUCUGUGAUUCUGGUGGUGUGUCUCACAUCUGAAGCCAAACUCCUCUCAGCUCAAUGAUUUCCUGCCAUAGUUCAUGUCUUCUUCCUUUUUAAAAAUAGAGGAACAUCCUCCCAAGUGGCAUCGAGCAACAUGCAAUAAAGAAAAUGUAGAUGUUACCCACUCGAUACCGAGGAGUUUCUGCUUCUUUCUUUCUUCUUGUUGUUGUUGGAUCAUACUUCAGUCUGGUGCUGACUUCUCAAGCCACACAGUACAAGCACAUCAACAUACUAAUAAUAUUUGCAUUUGCUUAUGGGUGGCUCAGUUUUGUGAGGUGACAGAAGGCAAUACCAGCCAUGGUUCAGCAUUAUCGUGCUAAAGGCUGUCAGUAAUGGGGCUGGGGUACCUCACAUAUGGUCAAAGUACCCCCCUCUUUACAACACGUUCAAGAUUGCAUCUGAAAAAUUUUAAGGGGGACUAAAGGAUACCCACCCAUUCUUCAGAGCACAUUUGAAGCUCCCAGUCAUAAUUACUUACAAAGCAGUUUCUCAAGCCUUUUUUUUUUAAAAAGUCUUCCUAUGGAAAAUUCAUUUAUACAGCACAAAUUGUGUCUAUAAAUAAUAGACACUCCAGCUCACCUGCCUCUUUACAUUUCUAUAGGCAAUGCAAGCUCUACUUAUAACAAAGUAGAGCAAAUUAAUGCUGCUGCAUUAUCAGCACACAUCCCCUGUCUGGCACAAUUUGCUGGAUAGUCCCGUUUGCCUGAUAAGUCAUUGUUUCUAUAGCAAUCCUGACAGGAAGAGUUUCCCAUUGUGCUCAAGGAAAAGGGCACUCCCAAGACCACAGUAGCUUUAUUAGUUCUAAAUACCUUACAAAUAGAGUCUGGUUAUCAAAAUUGGUUUCCAGAAGUCACCAUGAUUUCAAGCUUUGCUGUUAACACGCCCAGGACGAGAUGUUCGGUCGCUCACAGGGGACCAGCCCAUUGGCUUAGAAGCUCACACUGGAUUGAUUUGUAGGAAUGCACCAGUCAGAUCCUUCCAGGUUGCUGUUGCCAUGUGAAAUAGUUCUGUUAUUCUAAAUUUUCCAUUUAGCUGUAGGAGUUGUGAAGCUGCCGAGGUGAGCAGAAGCACUCAAUAACUUAGCAGACUGCACCAAAGAGGAUUUACAGCCCAACUUGUUAUAAACUCAGGGACUGAACUCACUUCUCCUCACCCGAGUGGCAAGGGCAGGAGUGAUGAGGCUGAGGUGGUAUCUGGGGGUGUGGGCACUGCUUGGCAGGUGGAUCCCAUGGAGGUGCUUUUCCUUGCAGGACAGCCCCUCCUUGCCUUCCCUGGGGCCGGAGCCCACCAGGAACCACGGCACGAAGCCAAGCGGCAUUUCAGGGUGCUGCUGCCAAGGCAAGGGCAAAACUUCUGCUGGCAGGCCAGCAGCAGGCAGCAGGCCAGUGGGUCACCUUCUCUGCAGGCAGCCAUGCAAGUGUGCCCAAAUUUUCCUGUUCUUGCCUUCUUCUUUUUAAUUUUUUUCUUCUUUGCUGGAAUCUAGCCAUUUGCAAGGUGAAUGCUAUCUUCUUGCACUACUUUUUUUUUGUUUGUUUGUUUUAAAAGUAUGCACUUGAAAAAUAAACUUUCAGCAAGUACUAGGUACUAUAUAAGCCUUUUUAUUAAGGUUUAAGAUCGAUUUUCAUAUUUAUUUUUUUUAAUUAAAAAUACUUUUAAAUAAAAAAAUACUGUUACUGCUUUUCUGACUAUUUGGUGAUCAGGAAAAAAAAAAAAAGAAGACUACUUCAAAUUAUGACCCCCCUGACAAGACUAAACAAAAGAACAGAUUUGGCAUGAACACUCACAGGAAUUAAUGCUGAUGCUUUUUUGGACUUUUUUCGAUGUGCAGAGGGUCUGGCAUGUUCUUCACAAAGAUGUCAUUUCAUAGCUCUUUCACUGAAAAAGGGCAAAGGAAGGUGUAGGAGAAAUCACAGCACUUUCACAUUUCUCCACAGCUUCCCAGCUUAUAAGAGUACUUGCAGAAGGAAUAAAAGGAUUUGUUUUAUUUAAUUUUUCUCCCUCCCAGUUUUUUCCCUAUCAUGUCUAGUGUAGAAAUUUUUCUCAGUAAGUUGAGAUAAAAAUAAAAGGUACUAGCAAUUUAUUUUAUCUUGAUAGACUAAAAGUGAUUCAAAUUCAAAAAUAAUCCCUUUUUCAGGUUAAAAUAACAAUGCCAUUGGAAGACCACCCAUGGAAAAAAAAAAAAAAUUAUCCCCAAACACCCCGUUCUGAUUUGGAGUAACUCUCCUACAAAGGGAAAGCUCCUGUUUUUUCACCCCACAAGACAUCCAGUUCUCCCACAGCCUUCUUAAAUUCCUAGCCACAGAAUGGUUUGUGCUGGAAGGGACCUGAGAGCCCCUCUGACCCCAACCCCACAUACACGGUCACCUGCCACCAGAUCAGGCUGCCCAGAGCCACGUCCACCAUGGCCUGCUUUGACCACACAAGAGGCGCCUUGAAUCCAGAUCUUGUCCCAUUAUCCAUGACACGACCACUUGACCACUAACUGGCUUCAGCACAGUUUGCUGAGCUUUCCCCAUUUCAGUGGUUUGCUUCUUCUGCCAUAAAACCUGCCCCAAAUUCCAUCCAACCUUAUGAACAGGAAUGGUUGCAAGCUUCCCUCCUAAGGUUUUUAAAUUAAGACUUAAUGAAGACUCAGAAUUUAAGAUUAAAUGUUCAGCCCCUGGCUAAUUAUGUUUGUACAUUUCAAUUUCCUUGGCAAGCAUUUGAGAUAAAAAACAAAACAAAACAAGCCCCAAACAAUAUUUGCACAUUCUAGAACACAGCAAAUACUUCCUUGAAAAUGCACAAGAAAUCCCUGUAGAGCACUGGUACUCUUUCAGCCAGCCUCCUGUCCAAUUUCCUGGGGAAAAAGAAACCAAAACAAAAUGCAAGUUCACAACCUUGUGAUUUUAAAAAAAGUGAAAUAUCUUAAAUAUUUGUAUUUGUCUGUUCUGGCUGCUCACUGUGCAUUAUAGCUACAUAUGCAAUUAACUUCUAUUCCACACCUCUGCAUGGUUGAAGAUCUGAAGUACAGAUCCCCUUUGCAUCUACUAUACAUCACUUUUAAAGAAUUGUCUUUAAAGUAUUACAUUAGGCUGCUGUUUACCUUCCACUUAGGUCUUUCAUUACAAAUCCAGCCAUUGGCUGGAUCAAGUUUUCAUUUCUGUAAUAUUUUUUUCUCGCUGUAGCAAAGCCUUGUAAACAGCCUCCUUACAUAUGACUAUGAAUGAGAUGGAAAAGCCAGGGAGUAUCUUGUGGUAUGAAGAAAAAAUUGCUGUGCUUACUGCCUUAUAAAAUGCACUUAAUAAAUUUGAAUAAUCUGAUUUUUUAUUGCAACAGUUUUUAAAAUAAAGAGGUACCAUUUCCUCUUUUUUUUUUUUAAUUUUAAAUAAUGCACCAAAAUCUUAAUAAACAAUUUUGUCUGAACCACAGGGAGAAAUGAAAGGCUCUUCUAUGUAGUGACUCACUGGAUUAUUGAAAACAACUAUGUGGCUGUAACUGUUUGCCUUCCUGAUAUAUCUUUCUCCUCUGUUUUCAAUAACGAGAUCACUGUAGAGCUUUGAUGAAGAAUGAAAUUUCUUUCUUUUCCAGAUUUGAUUUUUUGACAGAAAUAUUUAUGUGGGUUAGAGAAAUGCAUCUAAAAUGACACAGCUCAAGUCUACCAGGAUCAGAUUUUUACAUACACGAGUUGUGGAAAUCUGCCUGCCCAUCUUAAUUCUCAUAAUUUAUCCCCUUGUGUGUUUUUUCCUUCUGUGAAUCAGACAAUCAAUUUUUCCUCCCUUUUUGUGAAUAAGCCUCUCUCAGAAAUGACACACACGGCUUUAACUUCUGGGGGAAGCGUUGGCACCGCUGCCAAGGAAAGGGAUGUGAACUGAUGGGCUGCUCUGCUCUGGAACAUUAAGCAGAUCACACUCCCACUGCAAAGUGCCAUUGUCAACAUUAAACCCUCUUGUUAAUAGCCCACUGGUUUGGGUUUUUUUGUUUUCCUUUUCAAGUGUAUCUACAGUUAACUGCAAGGAAAAGCCCAAACAGCAGAACAGUGCUGAGAAGGGUUUCCCUCCUAAAUAGCCUCUCAGGUAACUGCUGUAAGCGCUCCUCUCUCCAUAGGUAGGAAGCAGAAGUGUGGCUGUCUUCACCCAUCUCUAACACCAUUACUGACAGUAGAUGAUGUUUUAAAAAAGGAAUGAUUUGCUGUGGGAUUCAGGAGGAGAUUGUGUGUUUUGGUACUGCUUGACAUGCUGACAAGCAGGGGAAAAAUAAAAAUGUUGUCCUGUAAACUUGGUUGUCUCUGUUGAUUGAGAGAUGUCUUACGGAAAGGUACUAGUCAGUGUAAACCCCAGGAUACCCAACAAAGAGAGAUUUCAAUAAAAAUAGAGAGCCAUUAAAGUAGCUCACCCUCUCUUCACAGGCUCAGGUGUAAAGAGAGAUGCCACCUAUGCAUUUCUGUUAUCUCCAUGCUAAACAAAGCCACAAGAACAUGGAGCAAGUAGCAAUUUCAGAUAUCACCAUGUUCCUUUCAAUUAACCUGGAAAACCUGUCCAGGGCUGAGUGCUCUCCCACUGAAACUCCAGUUUAGCAUCACUGACACAGAGAGACAGAUAUUCCCUCCAUUGUGCAUUUGGGGUGGAUUUUUCCCCCCACUAUGCAGAACAGGUGAACAACUUUCUUCUUCUUAGGCAUUUACGAGACUUUUUAAAGAUCAAAGCAACCAAGCAACCAGGUAAAACAAACUGCACCUGCCAGCCCACUGGACCACUGUAAAAUUCAGUGCUGGAAGGGACUUUCUUCAGAACAGUCUCCUGGCCUUCACAAGGCAUUCACCUUAGUCUUCCUAAUGACCUCUCUGCAUUGAGCUCUAUUGGCAGAGCAAGGCCUGGGGAGCCAUCAAGGGAAGGUGAUGGUACAAAUGUCCCCACCUUUGUAAAUAAAAUAUCUCACACAAUAUAGGGCUGCCAAUGGUUGGUUUUCUGGCUCUCACACAUCUACUCCUCUUUUGGGGGAAGCUGAGAGUGCAAAGGGAGCAGAGCCUGCAAUGAAUCCAUCACCUCAAAAGGAGGAUUCUAAACUGGAGAUAAUCCUUGUCCUCUCAAAACUUUAACCUAAGGGAGCACAAAAGGAAAAGUAAUCAUCUCUUGUUGGUCAAUCCCUUUGCUCAGUGUCGCAAAUAUCACAGAAAGAGAGGCCAUCAGCAGGGUUGGCUUUAGAUCAGGAAUAACUCCUGUUCCAGCCAUUGCUGGGGGCUGUUAAGGCCUUCAGGUUUUUGAUGUAUUGAGGGAAACCUUGAUAAUGCAGACAACUGCGGUGAAAUAAGAGGCUGGCUCAAACAUUAAUGACCCACUGAUUCUAUGUGAGACAAAGAGAUGAUUGCACUGUCUGCCUUGGCAAGACCUCUCCCUUCACCACCCUUGGUAGGCAUCCCUUCAGUGACUGCAAAGGGCAGAGAUGGUCCCUCAAAGUUUUCUUCCUUCCCCCCUACUCCCAACUCCCGUCCUUGUCAUAAAGAGUAGGAAUCAAAAACAAGCCUGUGGCUUUGCUAGCAUAGCAGAAGAAAAAUCAAUCUACUUGUUGACCUGGUGAAAGAAAGGUGGAGUACCUGAAGUUCAGUUUUCCCAUCUCCAGAUGCCGCUUACACUGAUAGGCAAACUUUCACAGAAGGAGAGUAAUCUGCAAGUGCUCUGCUGUAGUGUGGAUUCAUCUGUCCAACAGCAGCAGAUAAAGGUGAAGGCAGCUCACUUCCACACUCACUCCCUAGUUUGCACCUAGAGAAAGUUUUGGAGUUUGGGAAAGAAAAGAAGAGAAUUUGCAACCAUGAAAAAUGAGAUAAAACAAAGCAGUGUAGGGAAAGGGAAACUGAGCAAAGCAAAAAAAAAAAAAAAAAAAA